ensembl:lncRNA
GGUGUGGUGGUAUGGUGGUAUGGUGGUGUGGUGGUAUGGUGGGAGGUGGUAUGGUGGUGUGGUGGUAUGGUGGUAUGGUGGUGUGGUGGUAUGGUGGGAGGUGGUAUGGUGGUGUGGUGGUAUGGUGGUAUGGUGGUGUGGUGGUAUGGUGGUAUGGUGGUGUGGUGGUAUGGUGGGAGGUGGUAUGGUGGUAUGGUGGGAGGUGGUAUGGUGGUGUGGUGGUAUGGUGGUAUGGUGGUAUGGUGGUGUGGUGGUAUGGUGGGAGGUGGUAUGGUGGUGUGGUGGUAUGGUGGAAGGUGGUAUGGUGGUGUGGUGGUAUGGUGGGAGGUGGUAUGGUGGUGUGGUGGUAUGGUGUUAUGGUGGUGUGGUGGUAUGGUGGGAGGUGGUAUGGUGGGAGGUGGUAUGGUGGGAGGUGGUAUGGUGGUGUGGUGGUAUGGUGGUAUGGUGGUG